rnacentral:lncRNA from 1 species
AAGAAUUCUGUGGGCCAAGACAGUUCUGAUAAGCUUGAUGAGGAGAUUGCAGCCUGAAUAAAUGAUGAUGCUAAAAAAAGGCCAAGAAACACUAAACAUAACGUUGUUACAGGUUUUCAUUCCUCGCAACAGGAUGCCUCCAACAACACCCCUGCGAAUGUUAAUUUGGCAGGCAACAGUGAAGCGGCUUAUCCCGUCAAAGGUCGAGAU